rnacentral:lncRNA from 1 species
CGCUGUGUCUCGGGGAAGUCGAAGGUUGCCAUUGGAGUGGUUCCCUUGCUCUCCAUAUGACCCUCAGCAGGUGAAGGGCGGUGUGGCUCUCGAAUGGCCAGGUUCUCAGUUUGACAGUUGCACCUGCUCCCAGUCUUCCGGGUCUUGAGCACCUGUGGGUGUGGAGGUCUCUGUGGAGUCCUGGGGCCAGUGCACCGUGGAUGUUGAGAGAUGGCUGCAUAUAUGAAGUGAGAUGUGAGGAUUCGACAUGAAACACCAGGAGGAAUCUGCACUGAUAUUUCAGGAGCCAAUGGACAGGCACUGAGGCUGUGCCACGUCAUGACGAACUUUGUCUCCACGGAGAAGACUUAAAACUCAGCCACGGUCCCCCUUGAGCGCUCCUCUGGUUUGCAUUAGAAAUGCGUCUUCUCUGAUUCAGGCAUCUACUUCGGUGUACAGAGUGAGGUGGGGAAGUGAUUCAAGGCGAUCCUGUUGACUCUGUGUAGCUCAAGAUGUCAGCUCCAGGGGUGUGUGGCCAGCGAGGCUCUGGGCCCCCAUGGAAACAGAGAAGAUGUAGCAGCCUUUGUGCGAGGCCUGGGCAGGGGCUCCCCACCUUCUCUCCUCAGAUCAAGAGUGCUGUCCAUUUCCAGGCAGGAAAAUACUUGGCUGCUCUUUGAUAACCGCAAAGAGUAGACGGGAAGACAGCAAGGACAUUGAAAGAAAAAUGGAGAAUGGAGGACUUGUAUUAGAGAGGGAGGAAAACAAGUUUCAAAUGGAAUUAGUCAAAUACAUGCACGCUCUCAGAACCAAUAGGGCUUUUUUUCUACUUUGACCAUAGA